GGCCACGUGGCGAAGUAGUUCAACGCUGCGGUCUGCAAAACCGCUAUUCAUGGGUGCAAAUCCCAUCGUGGCCU
rnacentral:tRNA from 1 species